UACAGAGGUCUCAAGCGUUGUUCGGAUUCAUUGGGCGUAAAGGGCGCGUAGGCUGCGGGCAAGUCGGGUGUGAAAUCUCAGAGCUCAACUCUGAAACUGCACUCGAUACUGCUUUGCUCGAGGACUGGAGAGGAGAUUGGAAUUCACGGUGUAGCAGUGAAAUGCGUAGAUAUCGUGAGGAAGACCAGUGGCGAAGGCGGAUCUCUGGACAGUUCCUGACGCUGAGGCGACGGAAGGCCCAGGGGAGCAAACGGG
rnacentral:rRNA from 1 species